AAGAAUUCACUUCUAGAACAUACUAUUUGAUGUAACUUGUAUCUCUCCCUAGAAAUCUGUAACAGAGUUACAGAAGGAACCCACGUGGAGUCCAAAGCCACAUACAAACGCAGCAUAUUGAGCUGACAAUUAAGAAUUAAGCCUGAUUCAUAACUUAAAAAACACUUUUGUUUUCAGUUAAUAAUUUGAAUUGAAAGAUAAUAGAAUUUUAAUGUGUUCUAUCUACAAG
rnacentral:lncRNA from 1 species